UACAGAGGGUGCGAGCGUUAAUCGGAAUUACUGGGCGUAAAGCGCGCGUAGGCGGUUUUGCAAGUCGGGUGUGAAAUCCCCAGGCUUAACCUGGGAACUGCAUUCGAGACUGCAUUGCUAGAGUAUGGGAGAGGGAAGUGGAAUUUCCGGUGUAGCGGUGAAGUGCGUAGAUAUCGGAAGGAACAUCAGUGGCGAAAGCGACUUCCUGGACCAAUACUGACGCUCAUGUGCGAAAGCGUGGGGAGCAAACAGG
rnacentral:rRNA from 1 species